UUGACCUCAAAUCAGGUAGGACUACCCGCUGAACUUAAGCAUAUCAAUAAGCGGAGGAAAAGAAACUAACAAGGAUUCCCCUAGUAACUGCGAGUGAAGCGGGAAGAGCUCAAAUUUUGAAUCUGGCGGUCUUUCGGCCGUCCGAGUUGUAAUCUAGAGAAGCGUCUUCCGCGCUGGACCGUGUAUAAGUCUCCUGGAAGGGAGCGUCGUAGAGGGUGAGAAUCCCGUCUUUGACACGGACUGCCAGUGCUAUGUGAUGCGCUCUCGACGAGUCGAGUUGUUUGGGAAUGCAGCUCAAACUGGGUGGUAAAUUCCAUCUAAAGCUAAAUACAGGCGAGAGACCG
rnacentral:rRNA from 1 species